rnacentral:rRNA from 1 species
GAGGAAAAGAAAUCAACCGAGAUUCCCCCAGUAGCGGCGAGCGAACGGGGAGGAGCCCAGAGCCUGAAUCAGUGUGUGUGUUAGUGGAAGCGUCUGGAAAGGCGCGCGAUACAGGGUGACAGCCCCGUACACAAAAAUGCACAUAUUGUGAGCUCGAUGAGUAGGGCGGGACACGUGGUAUCCUGUCUGAAUAUGGGGGGA